AUACGGAGGGUGCAAGCGUUGUCCGGAUUUAUUGGGUUUAAAGGGUGCGUAGGCGGUCAAAUAAGUCAGCGGUGAAAUCCUCCGGCUCAACUGGAGAACUGCCGUUGAUACUGCUUGACUUGAGUUCGUCCGAGGUCGCUGGAAUGCGUGGUGUAGCGGUGAAAUGCAUAGAUAUCACGCAGAACACCGAUUGCGAAGGCAGGUGACUGGGACGCGACUGACGCUGAGGCACGAAAGUGUGGGGAGCAAACAGGAUUAGAUACCCUGGUAGUCCACACCGUAAACGAUGGAUACUAGGUGUUCGGAACUUCGGUUCUGAGUGCCCAAGGGAAACCGAUAAGUAUCCCACCUGGGGAGUACGUCCGCAAGGAUGAA
rnacentral:rRNA from 1 species